rnacentral:rRNA from 1 species
UGGGGAAUUUUGGACAAUGGGGGAAACCCUGAUCCAGCCAUCCCGCGUGUGCGAUGAAGGCCUUCGGGUUGUAAAGCACUUUUGGCAGGAAAGAAACGUCAUGGGUUAAUACCCCGUGAAACUGACGGUACCUGCAGAAUAAGCACCGGCUAACUACGUGCCAGCCGCCGCGGUAAUACGUAGGGUGCAAGCGUUAAUCGGAAUUACUGGGCGUAAAGCGUGCGCAGGCGGUUCGGAAAGAAAGAUGUGAAAUCCCAGAGCUCAACUUUGGAACUGCAUUUUUAACUACCGGGCUGGAGUGUGUCAGAGGGAGGUGGAAUUCCGCGUGUAGCAGUGAAAUGCGAAGAUAUGCGGAGGAACACCGAUGGCGAAGGCAGCCUCCUGGGAUAACACUGACGCUCAUGCACGAAAGCGUGGGGAGCAAACAGG